rnacentral:rRNA from 1 species
AUACGUAGGUGGCAAGCGUUGUCCGGAUUUAUUGGGCGUAAAGCGAGCGCAGGCGGUUUCUUAAGUCUGAUGUGAAAGCCCCCGGCUCAACCGGGGAGGGUCAUUGGAAACUGGGAGACUUGAGUGCAGAAGAGGAGAGUGGAAUUCCAUGUGUAGCGGUGAAAUGCGUAGAUAUAUGGAGGAACACCAGUGGCGAAGGCGACUCUCUGGUCUGUAACUGACGCUGAGGCUCGAAAGCGUGGGGAGCAAAUAGGAUUAGAUACCCUGGUAGUCCACGCCGUAAACGAUGAGUGCUAAGUGUUGGAGGGUUUCCGCCCUUCAGUGCUGCAGCUAACGCAUUAAGCACUCCGCCUGGGGAGUACGACCGCAAGGUUGAAACUCAAAUGAAUUGACGGGG